AGAAUUCUCAACUAAAUAGCAGCUUUUUCUUUCAAAGUAAAAAACAAAGCCACUCUCACAGUGCUUACAUUUGCAAUACAUCUGUAAAAAGUGAUUUUUUAGCAUCGGAAAGCAUUUUAAUUGUAGUAAACUGAACAAUGCAGAAAUUGUUUGAAGAUUAAUGAAAUUCACAAACAACCCUUUUUAGAAAGUAACAACAAUUUUUUCAACAUUAAAGAGGAGCUCAUUAUAUCAAGACAACUCCACUGUAAAAAGCAGUCUGACUUCAAUCACUGCAUAUCUACAUGUUAAUGAACUUGCUCUUUCAAACAUCACAAAAGGAAGAUGAUACUUGAAAGUUUCUUUAAGACAUUACACAGUUCACACUUUCUUGCAGUGUUCACAUACUGUCAGCAUCACAGUUCUAAAGACUUUCAAGUUUCAACAGACAG
rnacentral:lncRNA from 1 species